GACGAACGCUGGCGGCGUGCUUAACACAUGCAAGUCGAACGGAAAGGCCUGCUUUCCCUUGUGGAUUGCGGGUACUCGAGUGGCGAACGGGUGAGUAACACGUGAGUGAUCUGCCCCCAACUUGGGUAUAAGCCUGGGAAAUUGGGUCUAAUUCCCGAUAGGACUGCAGGGUGGUGCCUGUGGUGGAAAACGAUCUUCUAGUGGUUGGGGAUGAGCUCGCGGCCUAGCAGCUUGUUGGUGGGGUAAUGGCCUACCAAGGCGGCGACGGGUAGCCGGCCUGGGAGGGUGAACGGCGACAUUGGGACUGAGAUACGGCCCAGACUCAGACGGGAGGCAGCAGUGGGGAAUAUUGGACAAUGGGCGGAAGCCUGAUGCAGCGACGCCGCGUGGGGGAUGACGGCCUUCAGGUUGUAAACUCCUUUCGAGCGCGAGGAAGCCACCUGGUUGGAAGGGUAGUGACGGUAGUGAUAGAGGAAGCACCGGCUAACUACGUG
rnacentral:rRNA from 1 species